rnacentral:rRNA from 1 species
CCUGAACGCUGGCGGCGUGGUUAAGACAUGCAAGUCGCACGGGUGUAGCAAUACAUCAGUGGCGAACGGGUGAGUAAUGAAUCGCUAAUGUGCCCCGGACUCUGGGAUAGCUAGCCGAAAGGUUAGGUAAUACCAGAUGACAUAUCCCUACCGCAUGGUCGGGGAUCUCAAAGGUCCGCCGGUCUGGGAGCAGGCGAUUUCGUAUCAGCUAGUUGGGAGGUAACGGCUCACCAAGGCGACGACGCGUAGCCGGACUGAGAGGUUGGCCGGCCACAUCGGGACUGAGACACUG